GCCGAGAUAGCUCAGCUGGUAGAGCAGCUGAUUCGUAAUCAGCAGGUCGUCGGUUCGAUUCCGAUUCUCGGCU
rnacentral:tRNA from 1 species